UGGGGAAUAUUGCACAAUGGAGGGAACUCUGAUGCAGCGACGCCGCGUGAGUGAUGAAGGAAUUCGUUUCGUAAAACUCUGUUCUAUGGGAAGAAAAGGACUGUACCAUAGGAGAAAGCUCCGGCUAAAUACGUGCCAGCAGCCGCGGUAAUACGUAUGGAGCGAGCGUUGUCCGGAAUUAUUGGGCGUAAAGGGUGCGCAGGCGGCUUUACAAGUUGGAUGUGAAAUAUUGUGGCUCAACCACAAACGUGCAUCCAAAACUGCAAAGCUUGAGUUAAGGAGAGGUAAGUGGAAUUCCUGGUGUAGCGGUGGAAUGCGUAGAUAUCAGGAGGAAUACCGGUGGCGAAGGCGACUUACUGGACUUAAACUGACACUCAGGCACGAAAGCGUGGGGAGCAAACAGG
rnacentral:rRNA from 1 species